CCUCUGGUAACGAUCAGCUGUUGUUGUUGUUGUUGAUGGUAGCUCACGCUAGUUUGUGACAGGUUAUGGGCAUUUGCAUUUAUUUUGCUGAAGCAUUGACAGCAGUUGCUAUACUGCAUGCCUUGGAAGUCCGAGUGUGGUUAUGGCAAUUAACAGAAGUAUUAUCAACUGCACUUCCUACACGAUGGCCUACGGUCAGCUUGUUGUCUUGGACUUUCGUGGGGCUUCUAUUUUGGGCCUAUCUGUACAUGCUGUAUUACAGAAUGGUUCAGUUGCUACUGAAGAGGAUGGAAUUCAUUGAACCACAUAGGUCCCUCCUGGUGCAAACAUUUUGGAAAGCUGGAUUUCUGUGUUGUAGCGUCACAUACUUUAUAACGAAAUUCAUUCUCGACCAUGGAACCAAUGUUGACGAUUGGCUUCCUGAACUUGUUAAACAAAACAUUUUUCAUGGAAAUGAUCCCGUCGCACCCUGUUCGAAGAAAUAUUUUGGCCUAUAUUGUGCGUUUUAUGUACAUGAUCUGUGGAUGACAACUUCGAGAAGAGGAUUUAAUCUAACAAGUUCAACGAAACUUUUCUUUUAUCUGUUUGUGUUGACUGCGCAUUUAAUGAGGUGUGUGAAGGCUGCAUACCUGUUUGUGAUCUUAAUGAACAUUGAAGCAUUACCAGCAUGUGGUGCAGCAGCCUUUGUUCUGUUUGACCGGCCUGUGUGGAGAGGUGCAUUUCGUAUAGCAGGAGUCGGGGUGAUAUCCCGUAUACUAUUUGCAGCUCACGCCUUUGUAUGGGCGACAAACAUGUUCUUCCUGCUGCCUACCUUGUUGCUUUAUCCAGCUGUCACAACAGAGGUGAGGCAGCCGGAUGUUCUUCCUCUUAUUGCACUCAAUGCAGUCCUGUGGACGUUCUACUGUCUUAAUUUUGUGACAUCACCGAUGUGCCGUCUCAUUUACCUGUACCUGCAAAGCCCGACACCAGGUGUGAAACACAGAUCAUUGUUGGACGCAGCAUUAUUUCCUCCUGAGACUGACGUGAUUAAAGAGUUGCAGAGGAUACGAGAGGAGGUACGAGCAACUCGGAACCGUAGAGCGAAAGAAGCUGCAGCUGGCAGAAGGUCAGAACACCACAGUGGCUCAGUGACAGCAUGUGAUAUCAACAGGCGAGGACUGAAACUCUACCAGACAAUUAAAUAUUGUGCGAGCCAUGUGGGGAAGAUUGCCCACUAUCUAACGUGGUAGCCAAUCAGUGUGGAGGUCGUCAGGUACCUGUGUAUUAGUGACCGCCAGACCACGCAGGGGUCACACUGUCGAGGCUCAAGCUGUCAUCUCCCUGCGCUUAAUGAGGAAUAGGUGCCCGUCCGUUUGGCAGCACCUGGACCCCGGGCACUGGCUAUCAUGCCAGGUGGCAGUGGUGGAGAAGAACCCACGUUCAAAGUAGGGUGCCAUCGUGGUGGAUAUUUGGCAUCGCAGGACAACUGGCCGCUGUGAGGCACCAGCAAUCUUUCCAGUGUGAUGGCGGUGAAGCGCCGCCUGAAGCGGCAGAGGGAGAUGCAGCAAGCACUU
rnacentral:misc_RNA from 1 species